UAUAUCAGCAGAACUCGUAGAUCUAUUCAAGCACCAGGGAAAUGUUCUGUAGAUCAUAGUUUGGGAAACCCGGCAGUACUGAAAUAUCAAACUUAUAACGCAUGACACAGUUGUGCCCCUUGGUGGGAACUAUUUUAAUACAAGACACUUCACAAGGUAGCAUAUUGGAAAAAUAAGAAACCUUUUCAUUAUAUUAAUUUAUAUCUAUUCACAUCACUUGCAACAACUUCAGCACCAAGACUAUUGAAGAAAACAUCAUCAUAAUAGCAAUUUCUGUUUCAGACAUCAGAUCGAGACAUGUAUCCCUAUGAUAGCAAGUGUUGUCUGCUGUGGAUUCUCCUAAUCCUAAACAAGGGUAAGAUAGAUUUACUGUUUGAUCUCAGCAUUCAAUUACAAAGAACUACAAUGUCAUAUAAUAAACUAACAUUACCCACAGGCUUCCCCCCUCUGGUUUGUUCCCAGGCUGUAUAGUGUUUACUUUGCCAAGGUCCCCUCCCGUUUUUUUUAUACUCCGCCCGUUGAUAUUUCCCAGGUUUUAUAUUAUUUAUUACGGCCGGAACACCCCAUUUUUUUAAAAAUAAGUGAACCACAUUUCAACGAUCAUCCUAGGAUAACACUCC
rnacentral:sRNA from 1 species